rnacentral:rRNA from 1 species
GGGAACCUGAUGCAGCGACGCCGCCGUGAGGGGAUGACGGCCUUCGGGUUGUAAACCUCUUUCAGCACGGAAGAAGCGAAAGUGACGGUACGUGCAGAAGAAAGCGCCGGCUAACUCCGUGCCCAGCAGCCGCGGUAAGACGGAGGAUGCAAGCGUUAUCCGGAAUGAUUGGGCGUAAAGCGUCCGCAGGUGGCAGUUCAAGUCUGCUGUCAAAGACCGGGGCUUAACUUCGGAAAGGCAGUGGAAACUGAACAGCUAGAGUAUGGUAGGGGCAGAGGGAAUUCCUGGUGUAGCGGUGAAAUGCGUAGAGAUCAGGAAGAACAUCGGUGGCGAAGGCGCUCUGCUGGACCAUAACUGACACUCAGGGACGAAAGCUAGGGGAGCGAAUGGGAUUAGAUACCCCAGUAGUCCUAGCCGUAAACGAUGGAUACUAGGUGUUGUCUGUAUCGACCCGGACAGUGCCGUAGCUAACGCGUUAAGUAUCCCGCCUGGGGAGUACGCACGCAAGUGUGAAACUCAAAGGAAUUGAC